ensembl:lncRNA
CUCUCUUCAUGUUUGGUCCCUAAGCCUUUAGAAGCAACUAUUUGGGUGUGCUUAAUGAAAUGCUCUCCUCUUUGCUCAUGCUCUAGUCCCUUCCCUCCUUUCCUCUUGGUGCCUUCUCCAUUCCAGGCCAUGAGACCUGCUCCAGCAGCUCCAGGCCACCUGGAGUGCACAUCCAUUUCCCUGCUGGGGACAGUACUGGUGUCAGCUUCCACAGCCUAGCCCAGCAGUUUUCACCCCCUGUUUGACCAUGCACCAGGAGGGAAGGAGCAUGAAACAGACUAUAUGUUAAGAAUGGUACCUCUACCCUGACAAACAACAGGAAAUCAGUGAUCUUCAUGGAGAUUUUCCUCUCUGGUGAUACUGGUGAUCAGUGUGCAUGAGAAACUGUGAGUAAAAGGGUCUUCUAACUGCAACAGUAGUGGGAUGAAUUAAAAAGGGAUUUGUUCUUUAACACACAAAGGCAAUGAACAAUAGGAACAGUCUCCUUGUGCCUGUUUACUUCAUCUCAAAUCUUCAUGACAUUUUUGCUCUUUUUAUUAAUGCUGUCUGCUCUCUUUUUUUUCCACAAAUCAGUCUGAAUGCACAGGUAAUCCAAUAAUACUUGAGUGUUGAACUUCUGAACUGAAAGUGUGUUCUAAACCCUUGAGCUAGAUAUAAAAUGUUUCAUAUCAUUUCUCUAUGCAGAGAGGGCACAGCAGUCUGUACCAUGCAUACAGCUGAUUCUUUGCACUAGGACCAUUUCAUCACCAUUUCUUUUCCACAGAAGUUCAUUCUGUUGCAAUUAAAUAUACUAUAUUUCCAAUGCUAGAAGAAGUUCAGAGUUUUCAGUAUUGAUAUCUCAUAGCUCUCCACAGAACAAGCACUGUGGAAAAAAUCAGUGUCUGCACUUUCUUGUAAGACUCCCAUUUUAACCCAUCCUGUCUACUGCUCUGGCAGUGUGAAAAUCAUUUGCCCUCUGCUCCCUCCAACCCUCACCCUACAUAUCACUUUUCGUACUUAGCAUUGUUUACAUGUUUAAUGGCCACAAAACCAACAUGGUUUUCUACUGUCCUAAUGGAAGACAAAUAGGAAAUAUGUCUGACAGGCCCUUUUCAGGUAUGUUUAGGGGCUGUAAAAAGGACAUUACUAGUGAAGUAACCUAAGAUCUCAUUUCAGACAGACUUAUCAUCAAAGAGCCAGAGCCUACAUUAAUGAUCCUGAAGCAAUCUUGAAUAAAGAAUUAUGACUGCUGGGGCUAGAAGAGCUGAAGCUUUCUUUUUUUUUUUCAGACAUUUCUAAUCAACUGAAUUAAUACUUCAUACAUGUCUGUUAUGCUCCUUGUUCUCUGCAUGGUGGGUCUUUGGAUAAUUUAAUUAGGUUUGAUAUGUAUCUAACUCGCAUCAGGAGUAUGGAUGAAUGAAUAAGAAGUGUGUAAGUGCCAUAGUCAAUGAAUUUUGCCAAUAUUCCUACUCUUGACUGGACAAAAACACUACUAUAUUGCUUUGUGUAUGAUAACUUAAGUAUCUAUCAGCUGCUGAGCAAUCCUUCAUUUAACCUUUUACAUUAUUUUGAGUGAACAUCAACCAAUAGUACAUUUCUUUUCCUUUAUCACAAGUGACUUUAACCUGCUAAUCAGAUUCCACAUUUCCUUCUUGGAGAAAGAAUUGACCUUUCAGUGUAAUACAAUUUUAUCAUUCUGCAUCCUUUGAUAGAACCAGAACACAGAGUAAUCCCUCUGUGCAGACAUGACUCAUAUUCCAUGACAUGACUCUUCUUCUGAUGCUGCCAGAGAUCCUGGAACCUUACUUUGUAAGAAUAGGACAUAUGCCAUCACAAAGGAAUGAUAAGUAAUAAUCUUUUGCAAGCAGAACUGAAGAACAUACUAUCUCUCUUAAUCAGGUCUGGAUUUCCUGUGUUCACAGCCUUCUGAUUCCACAGGCACUCCUCCAGAGAUAUUUGUGUACUGUCACAGAACAUAUUUUGAAACAUUUGAAAGAUGUAUUUCAUUCUGAAAACUAUUUCUUUCAGUGAGGAAGUAACAGAAAGUAUAAACUUUAAUUAUAAGAUCAGUUCAUUCACUACUAGAGAAUGGAUUUCUCUCCCUGUCUUUGCAACUAAGUGAGCUCAACUUAGUUUCAAAUCUCUUCCUCUUAGGAAGGCUAUCAUUUUCUAAUGGCUACAUAGGAAGCCAUUAGAAAAAAAAGCCUUGCCUUCUACACUAGGCAGGUUCAUUUCAUUCAAACUGGAUCCCUUGUCCCUUAGCGAAUUCCUCUGAUCUGGAACAUGUCUGUUUUAGAUGGGCUGACGCAUCAGAGUCCAGCUUCUGUUGAUAACAGUGUAGGGAAAUCAUGAUCUUAACCUAAAUGAAUCACUCAUGUAAAGAAUGUUCCUAUGUUAAAUGAUUAAAACGAUGUUAAAACCUUUUGUUAGGUCACAUUUUCCUCAUUGACACACAAAUGCAGUAGUGUUUCUAUACAGAGCUUUCCAAAUGAAUUAUGCUUUGGUUUAGAGAUCUGCAUUUCACAUCUUCUCAUACUCCUCACACUUAGAUACUUCUUGCUUUAAUAGGGCAAGUAACUCAAUAUAUUUUUACUGCCCAUAUUUUAAAAUUAAUGUAUUGACAGGGAACUAUGGCAGUGCCCGAGUUUUAAUGACUCUCGAAUUGGUGUUAACUCCCUUCUUCUUUUUUAUUUUAAUCUAUUGGUGGAAACCAUUACACUACAAUAAAAGUUUACUGUUG